AAAAAAGGUAAGCUACUAAGAGCGAAUGGUGGAUGCCUUGACUGGUAAAGGCGAUGAAGGACGUACUAGACUGCGAUAAGCUACGGGGAGCUGUCAAGAAGCUUUGAUCCGUAGAUUUCCGAAUGGGGCAACCCAAUGUAUAGAGAUAUACAUUACCUAUAUAGGAGCGAACGAGGGGAAUUGAAACAUCUUAGUACCCUCAGGAAAAGAAAUCAAUAGAGAUUGCGUCAGUAGCGGCGAGCGAAAGCGCAAGAGGGCAAACCCAGUGCUUGCACUGGGGGUUGUAGGACUGCAAUAUGCAAGAGGUAAGUUUAGCAGAACAUUCUGGAAAGUAUAACCAUAGAGGGUGAUAGUCCCGUAUGCGAAAAACAAACCUUAGCUAGCAGUAUCCUGAGUAGGGCGGGACACGAGGAAUCCUGUCUGAAUCCGGGUCGACCACGAUCCAACCCUAAAUACUAAUACCAGAUCGAUAGUGCACAAGUACCGUGAGGGAAAGGUGAAAAGAACUGAGGUGAUCAGAGUGAAAUAGAACCUGAAACCAUUUGCUUACAAUCAUUCAGAGCCCUAUGUAGCAAUACAGGGUGAUGGACUGCCUUUUGCAUAAUGAGCCUGCGAGUUGUGGUGUCUGGCAAGGUUAAGCAAACGCGAAGCCGUAGCGAAAGCGAGUCUGAAUAGGGCGCUUAGUCAGAUGCUGCAGACCCGAAACGAAGUGAUCUAUCCAUGAGCAAGUUGAAGCUAGUGUAAGAACUAGUGGAGGACUGAACCCAUAGGCGUUGAAAAGCCCCGGGAUGACUUGUGGAUAGGGGUGAAAGGCCAAUCAAACUUCGUGAUAGCUGGUUCUCUCCGAAAUAUAUUUAGGUAUAGCGUUGUGUCGUAAUAUAAGGGGGUAGAGCACUGAAUGGGCUAGGGCAUACACCAAUGUACCAAACCCUAUCAAACUCCGAAUACCUUAUAUGUAAUCACAGCAGUCAGGCGGCGAGUGAUAAAAUCCGUCGUCAAGAGGGAAACAACCCAGACUACCAGCUAAGGUCCCUAAGUCUUACUUAAGUGGAAAACGAUGUGAAGUUACUUAAACAACCAGGAGGUUGGCUUAGAAGCAGCCAUCCUUUAAAGAAAGCGUAAUAGCUCACUGGUCUAGUGAUUUUGCGCGGAAAAUAUAACGGGGCUAAAGUAAGUACCGAAGCUGUAGACUUAGUUUACUAAGUGGUAGGAGAGCGUUCUAUUUGCGUCGAAGGUA
rnacentral:rRNA from 1 species